UACGUAGGUGGCAAGCGUUGUCCGGAUUUACUGGGCGUAAAGAGCGCGCAGGCGGCUGGUCAAGUCCGAUGUGAAAUCUCCCGGCUUAACUGGGAAAUUGCAUCGGAAACUGAUCGGCUGGAAGGUGGGAGAGGGUAGCGGAAUUCCCGGUGUAGUGGUGAAAUGCGUAGAUAUCGGGAGGAACACCAGUGGCGAAAGCGGCUACCUGGCCCAUUCUUGACGCUGAGGCGCGAAAGCUAGGGGAGCAAACGGG
rnacentral:rRNA from 1 species